rnacentral:lncRNA from 1 species
GGCAGUUGAGGGAGGUUAAGGGCCCAGAAUUGACACACCCCCGGCUACCAGGCAGAGGAGAGAAUCCUCAAGAAGGUCAGGAGGAAAAUCCGUAACAAGCAGUCAGCUCAGGACAGUCGGCGACGGAAGAAAGAAUACAUCGAUGGGCUGGAGAACAGGUACUUUGGGAUCACAUUUCUGAAGGAGGCUAUGUCUGGUUCCCUUCCUCACCAAGGUAGGCAAGGUGAAGGACUCAGAUUGCUGAGCCUUGUCCUGCUUCUCCCCACUCCCUAGGGUGGCAGCCUGUUCUGCACAGAACCAGGAGCUACAGAAGAAAGUCCAGGAGCUGGAGAGACACAACCUGUGAGUGAAAACACCAUGUGUGUGCUGGGGGUGGGGAAGUGCUGAGCACCAUUCUUGGGCCAUGGUUCCCAGAUGAUGGUAGCUCCUUAUUCCUCCUUUCCCAGCUCCUUGGUGGCUCAGCUCCGUCAGCUCCAGACGCUCAUUGCUCAAACCUCAAACAAAGCUGCCCAGACAAGCACUUGCGUUCUGGUACCAUCAGUCUGUCUCCCUCCCAUCUCCCCCAGCCUCCAUCAUCUGUCUCCCCCCACACUUCCAUCCUGAUACCCCCCAUUCCCUAGCUACAUCAGUCUUCCCAACCCAGAAAACCCCAGCUGCCCUCUGCUCCCUUCCUUGACUGUCCCCACAGCCCAAGUGUCUUGCUUUCUUCCAGAUCCUUCUUUUUUCUUUGGUUCUCAUCAUCCUGCCCAGCUUCAGUCCCUUUCAGGGUCUACCAGAAGCGGGGCCUGAGGACUACCAGCCUCGUGGAGGUGAGAAGCUCCCUGGUGAGCAAGGGGGUUUUGCGCACAGUAGUCAAGAAGUGGGAGAGAAGUCCUGCCUGUUCUGUCUAGGGUGCUCCACCCAAGAGAAACAUUCUACUCUUUGCUUUUUCCUUCACCUCACAGUGAUUUCCAGAAAUAUCUUGACCCAUGUGGAUAUGACAGAAAGUCGAGAGACUCCAGUGGAAGAGUCCACAAUGGGAGAGUCACUUAGAGCCCAGAUUGCAAACACGUCGACCAGAACACUGAUAGAGAAGAGGGUUGUGGAGACUGGGUCUGGUGGGCAUGUCAGAACCGUGCUGCAUGCAGAUGAGAUGUGAGCUGGAAGGUUCCUGGCCCACUCCCCUUUACCAUAAGGAACCCAGGGUUCCCCUAUAGCUCUGCUUCCCCCUGGUCUUCCCACUCAGGUGUCUUUGCUCUUGGGGGUCUGAAUCACCUCAGGACAACAUAGGAGAUAUCUGUAUCCUGAGGCCCAGUUAGCCUGUGUAAAAAGAGUACCUCAAAUACUUUUGUUAUGUAUCUGUGAUUUUAUUUCUUCUUUGGGGAUAGGGUUGAGGG